UACGGCGAGUGAAGCGGCAAAAGCUCAAAUUUGAAACCCUCGGGAUUGUAAUUUGAAGAUUUGGCAUUGGAGAAAGCUAACCCAAGUUGCUUGGAAUAGUACGUCAUAGAGGGUGACAACCCCGUCUGGCUAACCGUUCUCCAUGUAUUGCCUUAUCAAAGAGUCGAGUUGUUUGGGAAUGCAGCUCAAAGUGGGUGGUAAACUCCAUCUAAAGCUAAAUACUGGUGAGAGACCGAUAGCGAACAAGUACUGUGAAGGAAAGGUGAAAAGAACUUUGAAAAGAGAGUGAAAUAGUAUGUGAAAUUGUUGAUAGGGAAGGAAAUGAGUGGAGAGUGGCCGAGGUUUCAGCCGCCCCUCGUGGGCGGUGUACUGCCGACGCCGAGUCAUCGAUAGCGAGACGAGGGUUACAAAUGGGAGCGCCUUUCGGGCGUUCUCCCCUAACCCUCCACACUGCCACCGACGACAUAAUCCACCCAUUUCACCCGUCUUGAACCACGGACCA
rnacentral:rRNA from 1 species